rnacentral:rRNA from 1 species
UACAGAGGGUGCGAGCGUUAAUCGGAAUAACUGGGCGUAAAGGGCGCGUAGGUGGUUGUUUAAGAUGCAUGUGAAAUCCCUGGGCUUAACCUAGGAAUGGCAUGGAUGACUGGACAGCUAGAGUAUUGUAGAGGGUAGUGGAAUUUCCGGUGUAGCGGUGAAAUGCGUAGAGAUCGGAAGGAACAUCAGUGGCGAAGGCGGCUACCUGGACAAAUACUGACACUGAGGCGCGAAAGCGUGGGGAGCAAACAGG